rnacentral:rRNA from 1 species
UACGGAGGAUGCAAGCGUUAUCCGGAUUUAUUGGGUUUAAAGGGUGCGCAGGUUGUUUGAUAAGUCAGUGGUGAAAGUCUGUCGCUUAACGGUAGGAUUGCCAUUGAUACUGUUGGACUUGAAUAUGGAUGAGGUAUGCGGAAUGUGUAGUGUAGCGGUGAAAUGCGUAGAUAUUACACAGAACACCGAUUGCGAAGGCAGCUUACUAAUCCAUCAUUGACGCUGAGGCACGAAAGCGUGGGGAUCAAACA